rnacentral:lncRNA from 1 species
CUAUUUUCUAAUAUGAAUUAACUAAACUUUUAACCAUUGGACGCUAAAUUAUAAUAUAUGUAAAAACUAAAAAAAUUUAGGAGUAUGUUUGGUUCGCCUAUUUUUUACUCAGGAAUUAAAAUCAGAAUGGACCAAUCCGUUUAUCGAUGUUUGGCAUGCGGGAGUUCUAUUCCAAUUCCAAUUUUCGGGUGAAUGAGAAUCUCCCAAUCACCCAUUUUUUUAAUCCAGCCUAGGAGAUCAGAAUAAAAGUUGAAUCCUAACGAAAAGAAUGCAUUUUACGAAAAUAUCUCAAUGAUAUUUUAUGUUUUUUAUUUAAAAUUAAAUUAAAAUUUUUUACUUUAAUGUUUAACUAAAUAUAAAUUUUAAUUUAGAAAUUAAAUUUUUAAUUCUAGAUUUUGAUUUAGAAAUUAAAUUAAAAUAUAAAUUAAAUCAAGCAUUUUGAAUUUGAUCUAUAAAUUUAAAUUUAAAUUUAAAUUCAAGUUUAUGUUUGAAUCAAAUCAAAAAUUAGUUUUAUAUUUUGAUUUGCCCACUUGAUUAUAAAUUUUAAAAUUUUUAAAAAUUACAUUUAAAAUUUUGGCUUAUCAUUUCAAUAUAUUGAUGUAAUUUUUUAAUAUUUAACUUUCAGUUGAAAUUUAAAUUAUAAAUUUAAUUUUAUGACUUGAGUUGCAAAAUAAAUUUUAAAUUAUUUUUAUAUUUUAUAAUUUAAUUUUAAUUAUUUUUUGAUAAUUUAAAUUUUUAAAUAUUGAAAGUAGGAAUCAAUCGUACCGAUUCUGAUUAUUAUUUUGAACCAAAUAUAUUAGAAGAUCUUAUCAUUCCGUUUUCGAUUCCUGUCAAUUUUGAUUUCCAUUCGGAUUCCAUUUUCAAUUUUGAACCAAACUGUGUCCAAACACAGAUACUUUAGCAUAUUAUA